GCUGGGUGCAGUGGCAUGUGCCUGUAGUCCCAGCUACUUGGGAGGCUGAGGUGGGAGGACUGCUUGAGCCCAGGAGUUCUGGGCUGUAGUGCGCUAUGCUGAUAGGGUGUCCACAUUAAGUUCAGCAUCAAUACGGUGAUCUCCCAGGAGCAGGGCACCACCAGGUUGCCUAAGGAGAGGUGAACUGGCCCAGGUCAGAAACAGAGCAGGUCAAAACUCCUUAGCUGAUCAGUAGUGGGAUCGUGCCUGUGAAUAGCCACUGCACUCCAGCCUGGGCAACACAGUGAGACCCCU
rnacentral:SRP_RNA from 1 species